CGGCGGCGUCAAGGGACGCUAGGGGUCAAGGGUCAUGCGCUGGCCUCCUACCCCGGCGCGGGCGGGGUCAUGCGAGGUUUCUUGCACGCAAAUAUGUGGAAGAAGAACAGGGGCUGAGAGUUUUGGAGGAAGACCCGCGAGGUCGGAGCGGUGCAGGGGAGCCAGGGGGGAUCUCGGGGCAAACAGGAAGGAAACUAGGCGAGUCCACGCUCCUGGAGGAAUUGCACGCGCACACGAGGGUCAUCAGCACCUCUGGGCAAUACCACACCGACAUCGGGAGAGCGACAAUCGGAAGGGACGGCUGUGUCUGGCCGCACGUCGUCGGGAGCUUUUAGGAAUUUACUUUUGCCUGAGCUGCGGGAAGGGACCCUUUCUGGAAGUUGAGGAGUUAAUUUAAGGUACAUGGGCAGCAGAGAAGAUGAACAGAUCCCGAGGGAUCACUAUGAAAUCCAGUGCCAUUUCACUCCAUUAUACAGAAGAUGAAGGAACAGACUCUCGUGGAGUUUAGGAAGCUUAACCAAGAUGGCGCAGCUCGUGAUGGGGAAGCCAGAAUGUGGAACGUGUUUUCUGACUCCAGAAUCAGUGCCCUCAAGCAUCAACAUUGCUUCUCUAGUACUUAUGCUCUGAGUGUAUCAUUCACCAAUCACUGAGCUAAGUAACAUUACAAUCGUUAUCCUGUUGUGUCUUCUAAACAAUCUGACAUGGGUUUUUCUUCCUGUGCUCUUUUUCAAACAAUUCGGCAAUUCUUUUGUAAUUUUGUGCUUUACUUCUAAAUAUCAAAUGAUCAAAAUGCAUCUAACAUUAGUGAUUCUACAGUCCCUGACUACUACAUUGUUCAGUGAUGAUUACAAACCAUGAUGCUCAUGAAUUGGCCCAAGUCAUUUCUUUCAGCUUCCUCUACUCCCUAAAUGAAGCAAAGGAUCCCAGAAUGUAAUAAUGACAGAACAAUUAGCAUUUAGGUUCUCUCACUAUGUUGCUGAGCACUGUGCCAAGUAUGAUACACGUAUUAUCUCAUUUGAUAAUUCGAUAAAAAUUAUCUCACUUGACAAAAAUGAUACCAUGUGAAGGAGGUACCAUCGCUGCUCCCAUUGUAAAGAAGAGAAACUGAGGUCUUGGGAAGUUAAAUCUCUUGUGUAAGAUUGUAUAACCAGAGUGCUCUGGAGCUGGCAUUUUGAUUACACAGCCCAGAUUCUUAACUACUGUGUUCCCCCACUGCAGAAGAGAAGAACAGGUAAUGUGGUGUUUCAGGAGGAUUACUAUUGCAACCUAGAAGAAAAGCUACAAUGAUAUGCCUCAUAUGAUGGGGGACAUUUAAGCAUGUCCUAGACAUUUUGCAAAGAGCAUAGAGUCCAACUGAUAUUUGAAUUGUAAAAUUCUGUGAUUGCCAAGAGCCACUCUUGCUAUUCAACAAGAGUUGGGUAGCCCCACCCCACCCCACCCCUUACACGAAAUGCAGAGCAUCCCCUGGAGACUGUGGAAGCGCCAUUUUAUUCACAUGACUUAAUCUCAUCCUCUCCGUGCUAGCCAAAGAACUGAGAUCUUUCUUGCAAGAGCCUUUGUGAACUAUAAGGAGCACUGGCUCAGGAGGCAGGAAAUGAGAAGUGGAUUUUCUUCCAGGCUGUGUCACUAAUGUGCUCUGUUCUUUGGGCAUGUUGCUGGCACCUCUGAUUCUGUUUCUUCAUUUGCAGCAUAAGGACAGUCCACUAGAUGAGAGCAACAGAAGAGACUCUGUCCUCUUCACACACAGACUCACCUCUUAAUUGCAUUGUUUAUGCCUCUGGGAAAUGUCACUGGAUUCAGACACUGCAAGCUGCCCUCUAAGUCACUGGCAGGCCACUUACUGGCUUUGAAAUCUUAGCCUCCUCAAGCCUCAAUUUCUGUGGAAGCACGAUGUGCAUAUUGCUGACUGCUUGAGUGGAAUGCAAAUGAGGCCUUUUCUCAUGGAACCAUGAUGAACAGCCAUAUGAGACUAAAGAGCUUCUACAAGGCAAGGAAAAACAGGAUUGAAAUGAAA